rnacentral:rRNA from 2 species
UGAGGGAAAGGCGAAAAGAACCCCGGCGAGGGGAGUGAAAAAGAACCUGAAACCGUGUACGUACAAGCAGUGGGAGCCCCACCACCAAAGCAUUCUCUGGUGUUGAAGGCCCUGCAAAGCAGCAUCGCGGUGGCGGAGCGUCGUUUGCGACGCCCAACACACAAAACAAGCGGUGAAUGCUUUGGGGUGGGGUGACUGCGUACCUUUUGUAUAAUGGGUCAGCGACUUAUAUUCUGUAGCAAGGUUAACCGUAUAGGGGAGCCGGAGGGAAACCGAGUCUUAAUUGGGCGUUAAGUUGCAGGGUAUAGACCCGAAACCCGGUGAUCUAGCCAUGGGCAGGUUGAAGGUUGGGUAACACUAACUGGAGGACCGAACCGACUAAUGUUGAAAAAUUAGCGGAUGACCUGUGGCUGGGGGUGAAAGGCCAAUCAAACCGGGAGAUAGCUGGUUCUCCCCGAAAGCUAUUUAGGUAGCGCCUCGUGAAUUCAUCUCCGGGGGUAGAGCACUGUUUCGGCUAGGGGGCCAUCCCGGCUUACCAACCCGAUGCAAACUGCGAAUACCGGAGAAUGUUAUCACGGGAGACACACGGCGGGUGCUAACGUCCGUCGUGAAGAGGGAAACAACCCAGACCGCCAGCUAAGGUCCCAAAGUCAUGGUUAAGUGGGAAACGAUGUGGGAAGGCCCAGACAGCCAGGAUGUUGGCUUAGAAGCAGCCAUCAUUUAAAGAAAGCGUAAUAGCUCACUGGUCGAGUCGGCCUGCGCGGAAGAUGUAACGGGGCUAAACCAUGCACCGAAGCUGCGGCAGCGA